AUACGAACCUUACGAACGUUAUUCGGAAUCACUGGGCUUAAAGAGUGCGUAGGCGGCUUGGAAAGUUGGGUGUGAAAUCCCUCGGCUCAACCGAGGAAUUGCGCUCAAUACUUCCAGGCUUGAGGGAGAUAGAGGUAAGCGGAACUAAUGGUGGAGCGGUGAAAUGCGUUGAUAUCAUUAGGAACACCUGAGGCGAAAGCAGCUUACUGGGUCUCUUCUGACGCUGAGGCACGAAAGCUAGGGGAGCGAACGGGAUUAGAAACCCUAGUAGUCC
rnacentral:rRNA from 1 species